CCUUUGAUCGAACUGCAUAUGCGUUCAGCAUUUAACAUGCGUGUUCAAGUCUGAUGUUAAGUGAUGUA